rnacentral:tRNA from 7 species
GUGGGUGUAGCUCAAUUGGAUAGAGCGUUGGCCUCCGGAGCCAAAGGUUAAAGGUUCAACUCCUUCCACCCACG